rnacentral:rRNA from 1 species
AGAGUUUGAUCCUGGCUCAGGACGAACGCUGGCGGCACGCUUAACACAUGCAAGUCGAACGAGAGAAGAGGAGCUUGCUUUUCUGAUCUAGUGGCGGACGGGUGAGUAACACGUGAGCAAUCUGCCUUUCAGAGGGGGAUACCGAUUGGAAACGAUCGUUAAUACCGCAUAACAUAAUUGAACCGCAUGAUUUGAUUAUCAAAGAUUUAUCGCUGAAAGAUGAGCUCGCGUCUGAUUAGCUAGUUGGUAAGGUAACGGCUUACCAAGGCGACGAUCAGUAGCCGGACUGAGAGGUUGAUCGGCCACAUUGGGACUGAGACGCGGCCCAGACUCCUACGGGAGGCAGCAGUGGGGAAUAUUGCACAAUGGAGGAAACUCUGAUGCAGCGAUGCCGCGUGAGGGAAGAAGGUUUUAGGAUUGUAAACCUCUGUCUUCAGGGACGAAAAAAGACGGUACCUGAGGAGGAAGCUCCGGCUAACUACGUGCCAGCAGCCGCGGUAAUACGUAGGGAGCGAGCGUUGUCCGGAAUUACUGGGUGUAAAGGGAGCGUAGGCGGGAUCGCAAGACAGAUGUGAAAACUAUGGGCUUAACCCAUAAACUGCAUUUGAAACUGUAGUUCUUGAGUGAAGUAGAGGUAAGCGGAAUUCCUAGUGUAGCGGUGAAAUGCGUAGAUAUUAGGAGGAACAUCAGUGGCGAAGGCGGCUUACUGGGCUUUAACUGACGCUGAGGCUCGAAAGCGUGGGGAGCAAACAGGAUUAGAUACCCUGGUAGUCCACGCCGUAAACGAUGAUUACUAGGUGUGGGGGGACUGACCCCUUCCGUGCCGCAGCAAACGCAAUAAGUAAUCCACCUGGGGAGUACGACCGCAAGGUUGAAACUCAAAGGAAUUGACGGGGGCCCGCACAAGCAGUGGAGUAUGUGGAUUAAUUCGAAGCAACGCGAAGAACCUUACCAGGUCUUGACAUCGUAUGCAUAGCUCAGAGAUGAGUGAAAUCUCUUCGGAGACAUAUAGACAGGUGGUGCAUGGUUGUCGUCAGCUCGUGUCGUGAGAUGUUGGGUUAAGUCCCGCAACGAGCGCAACCCUUACUGUUAGUUGCUACGCAAGAGCACUCUAGCAGGACUGCCGUUGACAAAACGGAGGAAGGUGGGGAUGACGUCAAAUCAUCAUGCCCCUUAUGACCUGGGCCUCACACGUACUACAAUGGCUGUCAACAGAGGGAAGCAAAGCCGCGAGGUGGAGCGAACCCCUAAAAGCAGUCUUAGUUCGGAUUGUAGGCUGCAACCCGCCUACAUGAAGUCGGAAUUGCUAGUAAUCGCAGAUCAGCAUGCUGCGGUGAAUACGUUCCCGGGCCUUGUACACACCGCCCGUCACGCCAUGGGAGUCGGUAACACCCGAAGCCUGUAGUCUAACCGCAAGGAGGACGCAGUCGAAGGUGGGAUUGAUGACUGGGGUGAAGUCGUAACAAGGUA